AAGAGACAGCAGUCGCCACGGUAAUACGGAGGGAGCUAGCGUUGUUCGGAAUUACUGGGCGUAAAGCGCACGUAGGUGGCUUUGUAAGUCAGAGGUGAAAGCCUGGAGCUCAACUCCAGAACUGCCUUUGAGACUGCAUCGCUUGAGUCCAGGAGAGGUGAGUGGAAUUCCGAGUGUAGAGGUGAAAUUCGUAGAUAUUCGGAAGAACACCAGUGGCGAAGGCGGCUCACUGGACUGGUAUUGACGCUGAGGUGCGAAAGCGUGGGGAGCAAACAGGAUUAGAUACCCCGGUAGUCCCUGUCUCUUAUAC
rnacentral:rRNA from 1 species